rnacentral:rRNA from 1 species
AACAAACGCUGGCGGCGUGCCUAAUACAUGCAAGUCGAACGGGGAAAGCUUUCGGGCGAGUACUAGUGGCGCACGGGUGAGGAACACGUGGAUAAUCUGCCUUGGAGAGGGGGAUAACUAGUCGAAAGAUUAGCUAAUACCGCAUAAGACCACAGGAACUGAGGUUCUAGGGGUCAAAGGUUUUUCGCUCCAAGAUGAGUCCGCGUAAGAUUAGCUAGUUGGUGAGGUAAUGGCUCACCAAGGCGACGAUCUUUAACUGGUCUGAGAGGAUGAUCAGUCACACUGGAACUGAGACACGGUCCAGACUCCUACGGGAGGCAGCAGUAGGGAAUAUUGCACAAUGGAGGAAACUCUGAUGCAGCGACGCCGCGUGAGUGAUGAAGGCCUUCGGGUCGUAAAGCUCUGUCGCAGGGGAAUAAAAAAUGAAGGUACCCUGCAAGAAAGGAUCGGCUAACUUCGUGCCAGCAGCCGCAGUAA